rnacentral:rRNA from 1 species
ACAGCAGCCGCCGCGGUAAUACGGAGGAUCCGAGCGUUAUCCGGAUUUAUUGGGUUUAAAGGGUGCGUAGGCGGCCUGUUAAGUCAGGGGUGAAAGACGGUAGCUCAACUAUCGCAGUGCCCUUGAUACUGAUGGGCUUGAAUGUACUAGAGGUAGGCGGAAUGUGACAAGUAGCGGUGAAAUGCAUAGAUAUGUCACAGAACACCAAUUGCGAAGGCAGCUUACUAUGGUAUGAUUGACGCUGAGGCACGAAAGCGUGGGGAUCAAACAGGAUUAGAUACCCCAGUAGUCCCUGUCUCUUAUAA